rnacentral:rRNA from 1 species
GCGCGAAAACUUCGCACUGUGCGAAAGCACGACGAGGGAAUCCCAAGUGCUGGCUCGUAAGAGUCAGCUGUUUUUCUGUCUAAAAAACAGGGAGAGUAAGAGCUGGGUAAGACGGGUGCCAGCCGCCGCGGUAAUACCUGCAGCUCAAGUGGUGGCCGCUAUUAUUGGGCCUAAAACGUCCGUAGCCGGUUUCAUAAAUGCCUGGGUAAAUCGUACGGCUUAACCGUAUGAAUUCCGGGUAGACUGUUUAACUUGAGACCGGGAGAGGCUAGAGGUACUCCUGGGGUAGAGGUGAAAUUCUGUAAUCCUAGGGGGACCACCAGUGGCGAAGGCGUCUAGCUAGAACGGGUCUGACGGUGAGGGACGAAGCCCUGGGGAGCAAACGGGAUUAGAUACCCCGGUAGUCCAGGGUGUAAACGCUGCUCGCUUGAUGUUAGUCGGGCUCCGAGCCCAACUAGUGUCGGAGAGAAGUUGUUAAGCGAGCUGCCUGGGGAGUACGGUCGACAAGACUAGGAAACUUAAAGGAAUUGGGACGGGGGAGCCGACCGGCAACGGGGUGGAAC